rfam:Triticum aestivum genome assembly, contig: Triticum_aestivum_CS42_TGACv1_scaffold_423553_5BS
CUUGUACUCCCUCCGUCCGAAAAUACUUGUCAUUGAAAUGGAUGUAUCUAGAUGUAUUUUAGUUCGACACAUCCAUUUUGAUGACAAGUAAUUCCGGACGGAGUGAGUACUUG